GUGCCCCUUUUCCCCCGCCCCCCCGCGGCUCAGGCCGCCGCGGCGCCGGCGCCUCCUCCCUUCUCUCCCCCCCUCCCCGCUCCCCUCCUCCGCCCACGGGUCGGGGAUCCCUCCGCGGUGUGGCCCAGCCGGAUCUAGCCUCACGCGUUGGAAGCUUCAAGAGAAGGCGCAGGGAGGCGCGGAGGUUGUCUCCGCGCUUGGCCGGCGGCUGGGCUGGCUUCUGCCGCGCUUAGUCGAGGCAGGCCGAGCGGUGGCCGUGACUGACAAGAGGCCGCGGCGCUGUGGCGGCGGAGGGAUGACUGAGGGGAGCUGAUGUUUGGGAGCCGGAGUGAUUCCUCUUCGGGGGAGACGCGCUCCUCCGGUCUCUUCCCGCCCCCACCCCGGCAGGCGGCUCACUCAGGAGGGGGAAGGGGACCCGCAUCCUGCUCGAAUGGGGUGUUUCGAGUUCCAUAGAGUUCCAUGGGAUAUUUGUGUACGUCUAUGAUUGCAGCUUUAUACACGAUGGGGAAGAGUUCAGGAACCUGAAGACUAGGUCCACUUCAUACAUUCACAUGAAACCCUCAUCUGGAGAGGAUUAGAAAACUGGAAGAUGAAAGAUGGAAGUGGAUAUAAUCAAGAGAACAACUAUAGGUUGGGUGAGAAGGAAUAAAGAAUUGACAGGCCUGCUUCUUCUCUUAGGUCCAACUACAAUGAUACAAAAACAAUGAUUAAGAAUGUUGCAAAGAUAAAUUUAAGCACACAACACAGUCUUAAGAAUAGCUUUACACAGAUUAGAUAUUUUUAAAAACAAGCUCCAACCAUCCACUAUAUACAGAGGCCAACAUUCUGUUCAGUAGAAUGUUGGCUCUUUCAAGUUGUGCAGCAGCCCUGGUGGGUCCCCAACACCAAUGUUCCACUGUGAGAUUUCUGCUGGUGUCAGGAGUCCUAAACAUUAACCCCCCACCCAGGGGCGUAACUACUAUUAGGCAAGGGGAGGCGGCUGCCUGGGGGCCCCCACGCCUCAAGGCCCCCCCCCAGAGGCAAGUCACAUGACUAUAUAUUGUGAAGUGUGUGUGUGUGUGUGUGUAUCAGCGAGGGGCCCAUUUUAAAAUUUUGUCUCUGGGCCCACUCCAGCCUCAUUACGCCCCCACCCUAUGCAAUCAGUAGGGUUGUUCCUGCGAUACAACACAAUUCUGCACGUACAAACUUGGGAGUUUUUUUGAAAUUAGUAGGGCCAUGUUCACACAUGCCACUUAGAGCAUUCUUCAGUCUCCUGCUGUUGAUGUGUGUGUAUGAAAAACAGAAAUAAAUAUACUUCUAUCAGGUCUUGUAAUUAAUGGAUGACAGUGCAGGAAGGUGAGCUUACAAUUGCAUUUCAAGCUUCCUCCAUUUGUUGUCUUGCCUGUGAAUAAGUGCUCUUUCUUAGUCUUCUAGCCCCCCUUUUUUUUUCAAGAGAAGUGUGUAUAUUUGGAGAAGGUCUCUUUUAUAUAUUUUAUUUUUAUAUUUUAAUUUCCCAUCCCUGUAUAUAAGUGUCACUAUUCACAGGAACGAGGGGAGAAGAAAAGAUGCAGCUGAGGAAGGAAAUCCUGAUUCUCGAACUGGAAGUCGAAGGCAGUUGCUACAUACCCCUGGUACUGGCUCUGCUUUAUAUUGUAUCUAUUAUAUAUUUUGAAGAAUUGGUUGGUUUUUGCAAUUAAGUUCCCGAUGACCUACAGACACCAAAUUUUGCAUACACAAUCCUGCCCCUGAAAUUAGUUUAAUGCACUACUUUUUACACUGGAAUAUGUUUGAUGGAGAUUUUUUAAAAAAUUAAAGAAGAAAUUCUGAAUAUCAUACUUCCACGUUACCUACAGGUACCACAUUUUGCAUAAACAAUCCAGCAACUGAAAUUAUCUGAAUGCUCUGCUUUUUAACAUGGAAUAUGCUGGGUGAAAGGUUUAAAUAAUAUUUUUGUUACUUUUAAAAUAAGAAAUUCUGAAUAUAAUAAUCAUAUUUUAACUGUUACAGUUCUCAGCAGAUUUUUAGUAAUCAGAUCAAUAAUUCAAAAAGGACAUCAUGUCCUAAAGAAGCAGAAGAUAUUUCUCAGAUCCAAACAAUGCCAACUCCAAAUAAAUGAUUAUCACCAGAGAGGUAGAAAAUAUUGAUUGAAGAUUCUUGUAUCUUCCUAUAAGUAUAAUCUAUGUAAAAUGAGUUUGCCUGGUCAACAACAGGUCUCACCUGCUUGCUUGCUUGCUUGCUUGCUUUAUUUAUUUAUCAAUCACAUUUAUAUACCACCCAAACUUUUGUCUCUGGGCGGUAUCUAUAUUUCUAUAUUAUCUAUAUUUCUAUAUCUAUAUAUUUACACACACACACACACACCACACACGUACAUACAGGGCUGGUUCACACAAUUACCUGCUAUGUCAGUUUCCUGGGAAUCUUUUUCUUCCAUAUCCAUGACCAUGUAACAGAAAACCUACGUAUUAGUUGUCAGUUCUCAUGCCCUUUAAACGUUUUAUGUUUUGUUGUUUAGAACGGAGAGGGACAGGAGCUAGAUUGGGAUCUACUACUAAAUCUUUGGGUGAUUUAUCUGCAAAGGUUUCUGACUCUCGAUUAUUUAAAAAUAGCUGCCCUUCAUUCUAAGUGUAUGCCCAAGCCCCAGAGCCUCUGUCAAAGUAGGCCCCACAUGCAUGAAGUCUGUCCACUACUGGUUUAAGAGACUACUCCAGCACUUCAGUAUGUACAUUUUUAAAAAGCUCACAAGGCUUGGGUCUGGGCUAUCUUAGAGAGCGCUUUCUGUAUGAUCCCCAUCACAUGUUGAGGUCAUCUGGAGAGGUCCAUCUCCAGUUAGCACCGAUACCUCUGGUGGCGACUUGGAGCCAGGCCUUCUCUGUAGCUGCUCCUGGCCUAUGGAAUGCACUCCCAGCAGAUAUCUGUAAUUUAGGCUCAUUGUUGGCCUUUAAGAGAGCCCUAAAAACUUACUUGGUUGGCUUGGCCUUUAAAGGUUUUUAAAUUGUUUUAAAGCAUUUCAAUUGGUUUUUAAAUAGCUCUGAAUUGUUUUAAACUUGUUUUUAUAUUGUUUUAAGCAGUGUGUUUUUGAAUGGUGUUUGUUUUAAUGUUUUUUAAAAUUUGUUGUGCCAGAGCCUUUGGAUGGGGCGGUCUAGAAAUGCAAUAAAUAAAUAAUGAAUAUUAAUAAAUAAGACACUGUAAAGGUGAAGUUGGUAAAAGGAGAGAGUGGCAGGUAAACAGGUAGUGCCGAAAAGUGAGGUAACGCACAUUUUAUGAAAUUGCAUCCAAGUCUAGUUACAAGGCAUCAAGGACCAAUGUACAAACUGGAGUAGUUAAGUGGGGAAAUUCUUCUCCCACGCUAGCUGGAAACUGUGUGGCAACAUUUAAGCCAAGCAAAUCAUAACUUGUGACUGGUGGUAAUGCACUUUAACUAAAGUGGGGAAAUAUUCCCAAAUUAUAAUUAAAGUGGUUUUAAAAAUCAUGUGUAAUUUUGGCCUAAAAGCCUUUCUAUUUAAAAAAAAAGAGUGUGGGUUUUGUUUUGUAGUGCUGCAGGCUUUAAUUAGUAGAUUAAUCAACCAAAGCUUUGGUCAACAUUGAAGAGGGUCAUUUUUAAUUGGUGGACAUGUGGAUUAAGGGUAUACUUGUUCAUGUUCAGGAGAUUACAGUUCUGUUUUGUUACUGCCAUAGAGGAUGGAAAACAAAAUAUUUCACAGUAGUCUGUUAACCCUGUCUUAACUUUUCUGGAUCAAAUUAUAAGACAUCUCAUUCUUCCUUGAAAGGAACCUCUAUCAAGGUGUUGGUAGUACUGUAUGUAUAUAUAUUUACAUUUCAGACAACUGAUUUGUUAAAAGGCAGAGUCUUUUAACAACUUUCUUCUUAUAAAAAGUCUUUUCUUAUACAAAGAGCUGUUGCUCUGGUGUGGUGGUUCUGAGUUCCUGCUUUUUGAGGUGAUGAUUUAGUUUAGCUUUCUUCCCUUUUUGUUAGCUGUGAGGGACUCUUGGCUGAGUCCCAGCUGCAUAGCUCCAGAGAGCAUGCAGAGAUCGCCAUGAGGCAAGCUUUAAUUUCGGAACUUCAAGCUAACAACUAAGAUCUUUUAGCCUCCUGCCUAACACCAGGCAGGAUAAAAGGUAAACACUAGGCAGGAUGAAAGGACAUUUUGGAAUACUUACUAUUGUACAUCUUUUAAUGCCUGUAAACUGCCUCUUCAUAAACUGCUUCUUUAUAUUUACUUAAAUAAACUAGAUUUUAAAAUUCUUG